rnacentral:rRNA from 1 species
CUCGUAGGCGGUUUGUCGCGUCUGCUGUGAAAACUGGAGGCUCAACCUCCAGCCUGCAGUGGGUACGGGCAGACUAGAGUGCGGUAGGGGAGAUUGGAAUUCCUGGUGUAGCGGUGGAAUGCGCAGAUAUCAGGAGGAACACCGAUGGCGAAGGCAGAUCUCUGGGCCGUUACUGACGCUGAGGAGCGAAAGCAUGGGGAGCGAACA